rnacentral:rRNA from 1 species
CUGGCGGCAGGCCUAACACAUGCAAGUCGAGCGGAAACGAGUUAUCUGAACCUUCGGGGAACGAUAACGGCGUCGAGCGGCGGACGGGUGAGUAAUGCCUAGGAAAUUGCCCUGAUGUGGGGGAUAACCAUUGGAAACGAUGGCUAAUACCGCAUGAUGCCUACGGGCCAAAGAGGGGGACCUUCGGGCCUCUCGCGUCAGGAUAUGCCUAGGUGGGAUUAGCUAGUUGGUGAGGUAAGGGCUCACCAAGGCGACGAUCCCUAGCUGGUCUGAGAGGAUGAUCAGCCACACUGGAACUGAGACACGGUCCAGACUCCUACGGGAGGCAGCAGUGGGGAAUAUUGCACAAUGGGCGCAAGCCUGAUGCAGCCAUGCCGCGUGUGUGAAGAAGGCCUUCGGGUUGUAAAGCACUUUCAGUCGUGAGGAAGGUGGUGUAGUUAAUAGCUGCAUCGUUUGACGUUAGCGACAGAAGAAGCACCGGCUAACUCCGUGCCAGCAGCCGCGGUAAUACGGAGGGUGCGAGCGUUAAUCGGAAUUACUGGGCGUAAAGCGCAUGCAGGUGGUUUGUUAAAGUCAGAUGUGAAAGCCCGGGGCUCAACCUCGGAAUUGCAUUUGAAACUGGCAGACUAGAGUACUGUAGAGGGGGGUAGAAUUUCAGGUGUAGCGGUGAAAUGCGUAGAGAUCUGAAGGAAUACCGGUGGCGAAGGCGGCCCCCUGGGACAGAUACUGACACUCAGAUGCGAAAGCGUGGGGAGCAAACAGGAUUAGAUACCCUGGUAGUCCACGCCGUAAACGAUGUCUACUUGGAGGUUGUGGCCUUGAGCCGUGGCUUUCGGAGCUAACGCGUUAAGUAGACCGCCUGGGGAGUACGGUCGCAAGAUUAAAACUCAAAUGAAUUGACGGGGGCCCGCACAAGCGGUGGAGCAUGUGGUUUAAUUCGAUGCAACGCGAAGAACCUUACCUACUCUUGACAUCCAGAGAACUUUCCAGAGAUGGAUUGGUGCCUUCGGGAACUCUGAGACAGGUGCUGCAUGGCUGUCGUCAGCUCGUGUUGUGAAAUGUUGGGUUAAGUCCCGCAACGAGCGCAACCCUUAUCCUUGUUUGCCAGCGAGUAAUGUCGGGAACUCCAGGGAGACUGCCGGUGAUAAACCGGAGGAAGGUGGGGACGACGUCAAGUCAUCAUGGCCCUUACGAGUAGGGCUACACACGUGCUACAAUGGCGCAUACAGAGGGCAGCCAACUUGCGAAAGUGAGCGAAUCCCAAAAAGUGCGUCGUAGUCCGGAUUGGAGUCUGCAACUCGACUCCAUGAAGUCGGAAUCGCUAGUAAUCGUGGAUCAGAAUGCCACGGUGAAUACGUUCCCGGGCCUUGUACACACCGCCCGUCACACCAUGGGGAGUGGGCUGCAAAAGAAGUAGGUAGUUUAACCUUCGGGGGGACGCUUACCACUUUGUGGUCA